UCAGGCUCAGUCCCCUCCCGAU
rnacentral:miRNA from 10 species